UUGUUAUCUUAAUGUUGUUGAAAUUUUGAAUAGUUGUAGAAUGUUGAGAUAUUUUUCCAUACUAAAAUUUUCAGAGAUAAUUUCAUACUAUUAUAGUGAAAGGAAAGCUAUGCAACGAAUAUUGACAACAUGACUCUCUUUCAACAUCCAAAAUUUUCAAUUUACAUCCUAUUUCAUGUUUGAACACGUUUAUUGUGAAUUCAAAUUGAAUUCUCCCCGUUGAUAUUUCUUGAACUUGUCGAGAUCAUUCACGAAGUCCAGCCACUAUAAAUCAAUGUAGGUGUUUUCCUCCAUGUCCUAUAGGACGUCCGCCAAGAUAACAAUCAAUCUCAACUUAUACUAGUCAUUCUUUCUUUUCUUGCAACUUACAAAUGUAUUGUAAGCAUCUCCCUUCCUAAUCAUUCCUCCACCUGGCUUAAAAUAUUCUUUCAUGAUCCGAAAAUCUACACCUAAUAUCUUAUCUACGUUGUUACAAUCACCAGCAUUUAAAUUCAUCACUAAAACAAAUUCUUCGAAUCCAAAUCUUCCUUAUUUGUUUCUAAUCUUAAACCAUACUUCUUUUUUUGGUGGUCUUCAUCUUUCGAAAUAGUUAUUGAUGUACAACCUAUGAAGCCAACCUAAUACCCCUCAAUUUAAGAAUUGAUAGGAAGCAGCUCUCGCAGAGCUUGUUCUUGAAAUUUGUGUCUAACUUCCCAGAAACAUCGUGUACUACUUGCAGUUUAAAUCUAGUCAUAAUUGUAGCGUCAACUUGAAUCUUCUCCAUAGCACUGCAAAUUACAAAACAAUUGCAAAUAUUAGAACAAGUGAUGGCAAUAAAGUACAUAAGAACAUGAUGUAUGAGCUGUAUAAAUCAA
rnacentral:lncRNA from 1 species